AAUUAAAUGGUUAAAAACUAGAGUUCUAAAUCUCUUAUUCCAAAACCGUCAGGGAGCUCCCAUGGUUUAUAAUGGGCGGUUCCACACAAUAAAAUUCUUUUCCCAGGGAUCCCUAAUAAAAGAAACAACUUUGGUAAAUCAAUUAGCCGCUUAACGCUUUUGGUCUCUUCGGGCAAGCGCCGUUUAACAUAUAUUUUUAAACUUUCGGAACGUUUGGAAGUUUCUUCUGUUUGUGCAACCAGGUUAUUAUCCGAAUAACACUGUCCUGUGGUUGGGUUCAGUGUGUUGCAACCAAUGACCUUUUGCAUUGCCCGAUUCGGUUUUUCAAUGAUUGGGUUAGUUAAACUCAAUUAAUAACGGAGCGAGUAGUAGUUUGCCGAUGUUACCUCAUUCAAGGUCUGUUUAUUUACGGUACCUUGCAUUACUAGUUUAAUAUUUUAGGUCGUGCUAUACGAUUGCUGUUGAAAAAGAAGAAACUCGAAACAAAAGCCCUGCCUGCAUAUUAUUAACAUUAGCUUCUUCUAAAUUUUUUGCCAUUAUUUAAUAUUUGUAUAUUUUGUUUUGUAAAUUUUAAUUCAAUUUUAUAUUAUCCUGGCCCCAUAAUACCUGCCGAAUCAGAUAAAUGCGCUAGCCUAUUAUAUUUCCCCAACUUUUUUUUCCAUGUUCUCCGGUUGUUGCAAAAAUGGAAUAUACUGCAUAUUACCAAAGGUUUGAUAAACGAAUCGCUAAAUCUUUCUCCACAAUAGUUAAAGUGCUUAUCCUUAUUACCGCUGCGGAUAAUUAAAUAUAUGAUUUUUUCAUGCGGAGUAGGUUUAGCCGCAGGAAAUUCUACGUUCUAACUUUAUCUUUAAAUCUGGAAACAAAAUAUAUGCUGAACAUAAUCAUAAUCUUUCUUUUAUUCCAAGGAUUGUAAUUACCUGCCCUGGUGUUGUUAAUUAAUGAUUAAAGGUGCAUAAGCUUUCGGCGUUAAAUUGGCCAAAUUGUAUCCGUUUAGUUUUGAGGACAUAUAUUAGAACCUAUUAGGCAUUCAGGGGUUUUGCCGAUUAUUACACUGCGAUGUUCAAAGCUUUGCCAACACGUACCGACCACAUUUACUGCAAACUAGCAUGUUUUAUUUUGCCGACACUGCCUUAAUAUUAUAAUUUUUACAUAAUAGAGUAAUCCUAAUCGUGGUAUUUUUAUUCAGAAGCAAUGGGAUGUUUUGUAUAAACGUCUGGCCGUCAAGCUGAAGGUGGUUUGGAUAUAAAUAUGAAGAUAUCGCCCAGCUUAAAUAAGCCCUUUGAUACGAAACACUAUCACAACUUCCUUCGGCACUUCUAUAUUUAAUACCAUAAACUUCUAACCCAAAUCAAGUUAAUUUGUAGCUAACUUUGACAGAUUUUAAACCCUUUAUUUAUUAACAAAAAGCAAAAUGAAAUUCAUUUACUUUACAGCUUUAAUUUCCGUUCUCGCGGUCGCUAUCCCCACCGGCCGCGGUUUAACUUCUGGCGUAAAUAUACUCUAAUAAUUAUUUACCGAUAAUUUGAAAAUAUCUUACGGUCCCUCACUCUAACAACCACACAUUACUUCAGCUUAUGAGACGCGAGGGCGGCGAGGUAUCCACCAAUUACAUCUUUACCGAUAAUCCUGCUGAGGGUGGUAAAACCACGCAAAAGAAGAAGCGCGAAGGCGGUGAGGUGUCGACCAAUUAUAUCUUUACCGACGACCCUGCUGAGGGUGGUAAAGCUACCCAGUAAAUGUGUGGUUAAAGUGUAUUUAAGGAAAGAUUGGUUUUAAUAUAGUUGGUUUGGUUAUUAUAUAUAAUAAACAGUGAAAUUAAAUUUAAACCCUUUUAUCUAUUCUUUGAUAAAUUAUUAGCGUUAGUUAAUAAUUGGAUUUUGGUUUUACGCGAUAUAUAUUAUAAAUUCGUACCAAAAGUACGUAUUACAAAAACGAAUGUAAGGGAGAUAGGGCCACGUUAAAAUUAUUCUAUAUAUGUAAAUAUUGUUACGGCCAGGUAUAUAUUGGAGAGUUUUAAUGUAUUAUCGUCUCGGGGUUUAUCCCUGAAACCCGUAGCUCCACAAUUAAACCGCGCCGCCGUGGCUCAAUUGCGGCUGUGUAUUGUACCUGUGGUUCCAAACACAGAUCGCUUCGGUUCAGAGCGUGAUCUUUUCGACCGAUUUGAUUGGUCGAAAAGCCAUGUGGCUGGUAAGGUAUAUGGAGCGCUUUGUCCCCUGCGCAGCCGGGGUUUAGGCUGAGCACUGAGACUAAAAAUAGAGCCAUGUUGCAGGAAGAACCUGGUUUAUACAAUUUACACCUCCCAUACUGCUGGAAUUGACGGGCGGAGUUUCGCGUUGCACUGCCCGUUCUUCCUAACGUGGAAAAAAACAUAUUAACUUCCUGGCGUCCACCACCAAGCUCAAAUUCAACGUCGUCGACAAUUUACACGGUAGUGAAACUCCAGCAAAUUGCUCCUUCAAAAAUCGUCAAUAUCGCGAAAUUAAAAACAAAAAAGACGGGAAAACGAACGUUCGCAGCCGCUGGUGUAACUAACUCGCAAAAUCGUCGAGCCGAGUGCGAGCUCGCUAUGCUCCAGCCACCAACGGUUUAGGCCACGCGCAAUGCGAAUUUCAUUUCGGAUUUGUUUGGACCAUCGAAUGCCGCCAACCGGUAUUGCGGCCAGUAUAUAAAAGCGAAAAAAAGGCCGAAGGAAAGGAGCCGUUUUGCUGGAUAGGCAAAUAUAAAUAUAACGCUCACAAUUUGGCAGGUUUAAUUACGGUGAAACACUGAAGAUUGUUUGGUGUAGGGAAGAGUGGGUUUUCGCAUCCUCAAAGUAUGCUGAAGUAUUUUUUAAGAAUAACUAAUAUUAUCCGCUUAAAAACACUUCCCCUCCUCCCGCUGCCCUUAAACUCCCCUCCUCCCGCUGCCCUCAAACUCCCCUCCUCCCGCUGCCCUCGAACUCCCUUCCGGAGGCUAUCGCAGCGGUUAAUAAUCCCCGGCUUGCCUUUCUCUCUUUCCCUCCAUUUGACUUCAUAUCUUGCAAGGGCCGUUUAGAGAAAUUAAACUCAGCCUUGAGCCUUUUGGGAAAUCACUGUCCUUUGUCAAGCCGCAUUUACAAUAUUUCGCGCCGCACUGGAUUUUCACGUCAGGAGCGCCAGGAAUAUUAAACACGGUGGGCGUGUCCGUCUUAAUGCACUUCCUGACGAUCAAUUUCUCGGGUAAGCCGAUGAAGUUCUUCUUUUCGAUUCCGGUCGUGCAUCCAUUAAAUUCGGCAUUCUGUUUGUCGUCUGUUUUGUCGGGGGCGGGGAAGGCGAGGCUUGCUGAAAAGGCUAUAAUGGCAAAAACGAUGUAUCGCAUUGUUGUUUUGUUUAUAUCCUGAGUUUUUCCGUAGUUGAAAAACGAAUGAAAAAUAAAGAAAAGGUUAUGAAAAUUGUAUCGGUUUAUAAUUUGUUUGGUUGACGAACCGUUUUGUAAUAUAAAAAAUGUCGAUGCAAUUUUCGGAUAAAAGGCCGGUGUUAGGAAACCAGGUUUGGGGAAGAGGUGGAGGAAGAAUAUUCGAGUUUAAAUAUAUUUUAAUAUUCCAAAGGAAGGAUAAUAUUAUCCGAUAACACACUCCUCUAAAUUAAAAUUAUAACCGCGUACCAAAAUAGUAAGGUAAUAUUAAUAUAAAACAAAACAAAAAUAUAAAACCAGUAUAUUUUGGUAUUAAUAUAAUCUGUCUUUGAAAUAUGUAACGCAAAUAUAAUUGCAAUAUAAUUUUGUUUCAGUAAAAUUUUAAUGCCGGGGUUUUGGGGUUAGUUUUCCCUGUACCAUACCAAAAUAUUUGGGAAUAGCAUCUGGGGCUAAUUAUUGGCCUGGUGCAUUAAUUGUUUGCAUUACUAGUGUGGUUCCCCCUCUUUAAUUUUCUCAAAUCGUCCCCGGAAUUAAUCCAAUUGCAACACGGAACAAACCGGGAUAAAUAAAUAUUUAUAUUACCCCUUGGGCUAUACCUUGGCGCUGGCUCGAGUAACAAUUAAUUUAACAAUUGAAAGGCGUAUUACUUUUGCUCGGUAUUCCUACAUCCAUUAGCUAUUAUAUUAUGCAUGUUUUGGUAGGUAAUAAAUCGCAAUUAUAUACGCCGCUUUCGGAUAAGGCAAUUAUAAAUUUGGGUUUAUAUAUAGAGGGAAAAAAUAAAAAAAGCUAAUGGCUGUAGGCAAAUUAUAUUUAUUAUUCGUAAUAAUUUCAAUUUUGCACAAUUAUAUUUAUUUCGAUAAAUUAAAUAGUUUUAACUAAUUAUAAAUAGGUUUUUUUUGGUUUGUAAAUUUUUCUAAUUAUCCUUUUUUAUUCUAAUAAUUAAAUAUAAUAUCGUCACUUUUAAAAACUGUUAUAUUAAUUUUUCAUCCGUUAAAUAUCGAAAUAACCAGGGUUAUUUUAAUAAUUACUACCGUUAUUAUUAAUAGAAAUCGUAUAAUCGCUACGAUCAGUAAAAACAAUAUAAUAAAUUAAACGGUAGUUUAGUUUUUAUCCUCUAGUUAUUUAUAUAUUCGUCAGACUCGGUUGAACAUUCUUUUACGUGUUAUGAGAUUACGUGGUUAAACACGUAAUUUACCUACUCGCAUAUCUGCCCAUAAACCAACAGUUAUAAGAAUAGGAACAUUGUUUAUUUUUGCUAUAUUAAAAAGUUUCGAAUCCCGUACAACUUAUGUCUGUUUUAAACUAUUAGCACACGUAAUCUUAACAUUAGGACUUAUUAUUUUAAUACUUCUCUGCCAAAAUUAGCCGACGCGUGGCUGGCGUAAUCUCCUGUUGGUUUAUGGGCAGACAUUAAUUAACUAAUUAAUUAAUUAAUUAAUUGAGAUUUAUUACGCCUUCUACCCACAGUGAGCAACGCGGCCAAUAAAAAAAAGGAGUAGAGGCUAGCCUAGGUCCCCCUGUGUGUACCACCUCCAUCCAAAUUACGUGCCCUAUUUAAUACCUAUAAAUCCCUGACGGUGCCUGAGGAAUAUAUUCUGCCUGCAAAUGCAAUCCUUAUUUGUCGCCCCCUUGCGCGUGCCCAUAUUUUAUAAUCCCUGCCGCCCUAACCCCCUGUUGUGUUUUAUCCAUGCUGUUGGUUUAUGGGCAGAUAUGCGUGUAGGUAGAUCACGUGUUUAACCACGUGAUUUCAUAACAUGUAAAAGAAUCUUCAACCGAUUUUGACGAGCAUGUAAAUAGUUAGAAGAGAGAGACGAAAUUACGUUUAAUUUGUUAUAUUA
rnacentral:sRNA from 1 species